rnacentral:tRNA from 1 species
GCGCCUGUAGCUCAGUUGGAUAGAGCACCUGGCUUCGAACCAGGGGGUCGGGAGUUCGAGUCUCUCCAGGCGCGCCA